AUGAGCUUCCUGGAAGAUGCAGAGACUCCUUGUGAGACAGGAGCAGGUGAUAGUGCAGUGAUGAGCCACCUGGCUGGUAGGUCCAGCCUCCUAUUGUCAUCUUUCUGCCUCAUCUUCCUUCCUGCUGAGUUCUUCAUUUGGGGUCCAACUACCAGUUUGCUGCUGCUUAAAGAUGAACAACAAAGCAAUGCACACUCCUCGUUAAACAAACCAGACAGCCUUCAGGCAUACAAAGAAGAUAAAAAUUGCCCUUUGUCCCCAGAGCAAGAGUCUCAUCUGUUGCUUAACAGAAUUUUCCUCUCCAAGGUAGCGUCUCAGGCAGUGGUGGCUCCAGUUCCUGCUGGUGGCAUCAGAUCAUUGGCUCAGGUACACCUACCUUACUCUGUUGUCCUCUCUUGUCCAGGCCUAGUGGUGGCAACAAUAGCUUCUAGCUGUCUUAGUCCCAGUUUGGCCCCUCAACAAUUCAAAGUUCAAAAGCCAGUUCCUUACAUUAAGCUCCCUGUGUUGAAAGGCCUGGGGUGGUUGUGGUUUUAUACUAAGGCCCUAUGCUAUAUGGAAACAACAAGCAGAGCUGUGUCGGGCAGUGCUUAGAUAAUGUCUCAGAGCACUGUGGUCUGCAGCCAUGGCCCCUUAUGAACUUGUGAUGGUUUUACUGGGUAAAUCAAGGAUUUCAUAAGGCCUGCUUUCUACCUCUUGACCCAACAGGCUCUUUUCCAUUUUGUGGUAGCAUAGCCUAGGAGUAUGGAGGUACGCUCUGGAGUAAGAGAGGCAGCUCUGCUUUGAAUCUCAGAUUCAUCAUUACUGGAUGGGUGACAUUGAGCCACAUUUGGGGUUGGUGUAGCUCAGUGGUAGGGCAUCUGCCUAGAAUGUACAGGGUCCUGGCUUCUAUCCCAGCACUGAAACACAAAAGAAAACAAACAGCUCCAGCUGUAGUAUUUAUAGCUAGGGGAUAAGGAUGGCUAAUUAAUGGAGGUGAUGCAUGCUCAGUCUUUGAUGUGUAUAAGUGAUCCCAUUUAUUGAAUAUUAUGAUUAAAACUACUACCACAGCCCCGUCAAGAAACACAAGGGUCUUUUCACUUGGAUUUGUGUUGUGGGAUAUUUGAACACUGUGAAAAUGUAUUACUGUGAUUGGCAAAAUAAAAAGCUGAACAGCCAAUAGCUAGGCAGGAUAGGCGGAAUAUCCGUGGGUGACAGAGGAAGAGAAGAAGGAAUCCAGACAGACGUAAUGGGAUAGAGGUAAAGUCACAUGGUAAAACAUAGAUUAAUAGAAUCAGGUUAAUUUAAGUUAUAAGAGCUAGUGGGACAAACCUAAGCUAAGGACGAGCUUUCAUAAUUAAUAAGCCUCUGUGUCAUUAUUUGGGAGCUUGCUGGUGGGACAAAGAUUCGUUUCAGAUUUGGGUCCCUGGACAUAAGAAUGACUCACUCUCGUUCUUCCCAAUAUCUCUAUAUGAAGAACUCAGUAAGUUUUCACAGCUGCCCAGAGUCACGGGGAAAGAAAGAAAAAGAUCCAGAACCUUCCCUUCCAACAUUGGCCUCGGAGCAUCCGUGGACUGAGAUCACCCUCUAAAGAUGGGAACCUACCCAAGAUGCACAGCUGAGCCUAGAGGUUUCUGAUGGGCGGAGCCAAGGCCUCAUAGCAGGAGGGCCUGGCCUGGUGCCUGUGGAAGUCAGGCAGAUGAAUACUUGUCAGCUGGAAACCUAUUCUUUCCCUACAAGACACUUGGAAGUAGCUUUUGCAGUCCCCGUGCUCUUUCUCCCCUCCAGGCCCCUAAGAUUGCUUUGCCUGUAACAUCUUUUCAUUUCUUUUCAACCCAGAAAACCUAUACAUAUCCUUCAAGACCCAGAUGAAUCUUGAUGCUUCUUUGGUGGCAUCCCCGGGCACAAUUAAACACAUCCCUCCUGUGUUUUCAAACGUAUGCAGUUUGUGUUGUGGCACUUUCACUUCUGUGUACCUUUAAUGACUCAUACACGCUUUUAUCAUGGCACCUGGCACGACCUACAACAGCAACAGGCACAGUGGCAACUGACCAUGCCAACAGCCACAGCCUUGGUCGGGAAUGUUGGUAGCUGUUUAGUCACCGAGUGGUAGAUACUCGGUGUAACCUUCCCACCCGGCCCCUCCUGGCUUCUCUAUGAAGUGUUUGCAUUUUACGGAUGAGGAUGCACACCUGGUUCAGAAGUUUACUGUCUCGUUUUCCCUGUGAACCCUCAGAGGAAAAAAAGGAGACCUGGGUAUACCCUGUCUCUGUACUAGACACGGACAGGGUGCCUGAUACCAAGCGAUCACGAUCACCUAAAUGCCGCAAAAGCGUUCCAUAGCACUGAUGUGUGGAGGUUGGUUAAACCAUUUCCCACGUGUUGCUCUAGUUCCGGAUAUUCUAUCUUUCUUGGACUGGAUUAUUUCCUUUGGGUCAGUUCCUGGGAGUGGAGCGACUGGAUCCGAG
ensembl:lincRNA